AAACCAACAGGGAUUGCCCCAGUAACGGCGAGUGAAGCGGCAACAGCUCAAAUUUGAAAUCUGGCCCCCAGGGCCCGAGUUGUAAUUUGCAGAGGAUGCUUUUGGCGCGGCGCCUUCCGAGUUCCCUGGAACGGGACGCCAUAGAGGGUGAGAGCCCCGUCUGGUCGGACGCCAAGCCAGUGUAAAGCUCCUUCGACGAGUCGAGUAGUUUGGGAAUGCUGCUCUAAAUGGGAGGUAUAUGUCUUCUAAAGCUAAAUAUAGGCCAGAGACCGAUAGCGCACAAGUAGAGUGAUCGAAAGAUGAAAAGCACUUUGAAAAGAGGGUUAAACAGUACGUGAAAUUGUUGAAAGGGAAGCACUUGUGACCAGACUUGGGCCCGGUGAAUCAUCCAGCGUUCUCGCUGGUGCACUUCGCCGGGCUCAGGCCAGCAUCAGUUCGCCGCGGGGGACAAAAGCUUCGGGAACGUGGCUCCCUCGGGAGUGUUAUAGCCCGUUGCACAAUACCCUGCGGUGGACUGAGGUUCGCGCUCCGCAAGGAUGCUGGCGUAAUGGUCACCAGUGAC
rnacentral:rRNA from 1 species